rnacentral:sRNA from 14 species
UAAGAUAGGUUGGGCCUGGUUAGUACUUGGAUGGGAGACCGCCUAAGAAUACCAGGUGCUGUAAGCC